AUAAAUGUUAGGUGAAAGGUUUUUAUUCCGCAGGUGGUGGGGUUUGGGGCAGAUAUUCAGAACUUGAUACUUUGAAAGUCUGCUCCAGAAGAAAUGUGCUGUGACUGACACUGGGGAGUAGCUGAAACUGAAAGAACACUGAAGGCUGUUGGAAAAACCAAUGUCAAGGUGUUGAAAGCAAAUCUACAAAGAGAUCCCCUGUUUCUUGCUUUGGUGUAUUCCAAUGCAGCAUAACGUCUCUACCAUAGAAAUAAAAUAAGAUUGAAGGCAAGUGAGGAGCAAGAAAUAUUGCCCAGAAUGAAAUGAUUAUUCACUGGUAGGGAUGGAAUCAAAACCAAAACCACCUUGUUCAAUAGCUUCCCAAGAUGGAAUCACUGAACAGAAAAAUCAGCAGUAAUAAAGUCAAAAGUUAUCUGUGUUUUCUCAAAACAAUCAAAUUUAACAAUUAAAAUAGUAUGUGUCUUGCUGGGUAGACCA